UACGUAGGGUGCAAGCGUUAUCCGGAAUUAUUGGGCGUAAAGAGCUCGUAGGCGGUUUGUCGCGUCUGCUGUGAAAACUGGAGGCUCAACCUCCAGCCUGCAGUGGGUACGGGCAAACUAGAGUGCGGUAGGGGAGAUUGGAAUUCCUGGUGUAGCGGUGGAAUGCGCAGAUAUCAGGAGGAACACCGAUGGCGAAGGCAGAUCUCUGGGCCGUAACUAACGCUGAGGAGCGAAAGCAUGGGGAGCAAACAGG
rnacentral:rRNA from 1 species